GUGGCAGAAAUGCACGGGGAGCAGAGAAAGAGAGGGCACACUGUCUCCCAUUUAUUUUUAGUAUUUUAUUUAGGGAUGGGUUCACUACCAUGCUGUUCUUAGGCUCUCCUGAGGUAGCAGAGGUGCAGAGAUGGCAGCGAUCCUGAGGCAAGAGUACUGAAAUUUGUUCUUUAAUUUACUUGAUUAUCCAAGUUGGGCAUUUGAAGAAACACAUCCAUGUUUCCCCAUCGCUUAGUGCCACGGGGUAAAAAGAAAUCUAAAAUGCAAGGAGGGGAGAAGAAGAAAAUGCCCCACAUACCUCAGACAAAUCCAAGUCAACUCCUCACACCACCCAACCACCCAUCCCAGAAGAAUGAAACCACACAACACACCAGAAUGCUCGUUAUUGACUCAAACCUCCUCAGAAUGCAUGCGGGACAAGGAGCCCAAUGGAA
rnacentral:lncRNA from 1 species